ensembl:lncRNA novel transcript
AGGUUCCACCCAAGGACCCAACAGGGGCCCCGCGCGCCCGGGGAAGCCACGGCAAGGGGAGCGGGUCCGCAGGCGCGGGUGAAGACAGGGCGAGGGGAGCGGUGGCAUUUUGUCAGCACUUGGGAACUUCCUGGCCCAGAUGAUUGAGAAGAAGCGGAAAAAAGAAAACUCUAGAAGUCUGGAUGUCGGUGGGCCUCUGAGAUAUGCCGUUUACGGGGGAAAGACGCCUCAGCCUUCGCCGCCAAGAUGAGGGGGGGCUUCUGGCCGGCGCUGAGGAUGAACUGGCGGGUGUGGACGCCACUACAGUUCAUCAACAUCAACUACGUCCCUCUGAAGUUCCGGGUGCUCUUCGCCAACCUGGCAGCUCUGUUCUGGUAUGCCUACCUGGCCUCCUUGGGGAAGUGACGACCGCUGGGAGAACAUCAGGUGCACUGUGGACGUGGGUCUGGGGGUCUCACCCGCCCAGCGAGAGCAGAACCAAUCCAGUCAGGAUGUCACUGACUCUAAAUCAGGCGAGAACCACUGUCUCUGAUCAACGUGCGGAAGAGGAACGUGGAAUCUGGGGAA